GGGGUCGCUCGCGCUAUAGGAGCGAAGAGUGUUUCCUCUGUGCGUGCUACAGUGGCGAAGCCUCGCCGGUUUUGGGGGCGUCGUACGUAAGGUAUUCUAAGAAAAACUGCCCUUUACCGCAACCCGAAAAUGAUCACCGAAGGCGUCAGAUCUGUCGUAUAUGGAGACCCCGCCUUUCCACACCGGCCGCUGCGAAGCAAACCUUUUGGACGUACUUCUUUGCAUGUUUUCAAAGUAAAAUUAAGAGACCAACAACUGCCCAGAACAUGAAAUGAGAAGACUUCACGGAUGUAAAGACUGUACCUCGUAGUGAUUGAAA